CCAUUCGCCUCCAGGUAGAUGUUCUCGUCGCUGUCUGUCCUGAGGAGGUUGGGAGCCAGCAACACAAACCUAAACAGCAGAGAUGCUGAAAUCCACAGUGACUUUCAUACUUCUUACUAAGUUUGCGGAACAGACGUCUGAAAAUCAGAAAUACAGUCACAUGUCACAGCAGCAUGGAAUCCGCAGGCCCAGACCUGACCAAUGGACAUGAGUGCAUCUAUUCAGAAAGACGAUGCCCUUCAACUCAGUGUUGGGUAUGACAUAAUCAAAAAUCCUGCUUUCCUGCACUUCAAACUAUGUCCUGUGUGUGCUCCAGAUGGAACAUUCUUUUGCACAAAUUAAAAAACAUAUUGAGCAAGACAUUGAACAACAUGAAUGUCAGCAGCAUUUGUGGUGGCGAAGA